rnacentral:rRNA from 1 species
GACGAACGCUGGCGGCGUGCUUAACACAUGCAAGUCGAACGGGCCUUGUCCCCUUUUUUUUUGGGGGUGGGGUUAGUGGCGAACGGGUGAGUAACACGUGAGUAACCUGCCCCUCACUUCUGGAUAACCGCUUGAAAGGGUGGCUAAUACGGGGUGCUCUGGCCUGCUCGCAUGGGUGGGUUUGGAAAGAUUCGACCGGUUUUGGUUGUUUUGGGGGGGGAUGGGCUCGCGGCCUAUCAGCUUGUUGGUGGGGUGAUGGCCUGCCAAGGCUUUGACGGGUAGCCGGCCUGAGAGGGUGGGCGGUCACACUGGGACUGAGACACGGCCCAGACUCCUACGGGAGGCAGCAGUGGGGAAUAUUGCACAAUGGGCGCAAGCCUGAUGCAGCGACGCCGCGUGAGGGAUGGAGGCCUUCGGGUUGUGAACCUCUUUCGCCAGUGAAGAAGGUCCUGCUCUUUGUGGUGGGGUUGACGGUAGCUGGGUUAAUGAAGCGCCGGCUAACUACGUG